rnacentral:tRNA from 1 species
GGAAUGGGUAUAGCUCAGUGGUUGAGCAUCUGCUUCCCAUGUACAAGGUCCUGGGUUCAAUCCCCAGUACCUCCU